rnacentral:rRNA from 1 species
UAACGCGUGGGUAACCUGCCCUUAAGUCUGGGAUACCAUUUGGAAACAGAUGCUGAUACCGGAUAAAAGCUACUUUCGCAUGAAAGAAGUUUAAAAGGCGGCGUAAGCUGUCGCUAAAGGAUGGACCUGCGAUGCAUUAGCUAGUUGGUAAGGUAACGGCUUACCAAGGCGAUGAUGCAUAGCCGAGUUGAGAGACUGAUCGGCCACAUUGGGACUGAGACACGGCCCAAACUCCUACGGGAGGCAGCAGCA